CCUGGUCCUGAUCCACAUUUGAACUGCAUUCCUGAGCUCAGGGAUGGAUUCAGUAGCGUCACACACUUCCAGUAAUGUGGGGGUGUGAUUUAAUGUAAAGACAGAGGAGGAGGAGCAGCUGUGUUCAGGUGAUCCAGGUGAGGCAGUCCAGCCAGGAAACAGGAAGUGAAGGACCGAGAGAGUUCAGACUCCAACGGACAGACUGAGAGAGAAGGAGGAGCAGCACUGAAGAACAGUGUGUUUAAUUCCAGCUUCAGUAUUGUUGGAAUGGGGUGUGGAUCUGAGGCUGAAGCGCAGAAGAAGCAACGUGACUGAAGAUGAGUGGUGUGGAUGAAGAGGAGGACGGACCAGAGUGUGUGGACAGACACGCAGCAGGGUCAUCAGGAUCCAGCAGGUUGUCCAUGAAGAGUGACCUGUCCAAAGAUGAUCCACCAGUCUUCAGUGCUGAACCUGGACCUUCAGACACAAAAGAGAAGAAGAGGACUGAUGUGUGUGAGGAGCAGCCAGAAAGAUCCAGAAGCGCCG